rnacentral:rRNA from 1 species
GACGAACGCUGGCGGCACGCCUAACACAUGCAAGUCGAACGGACUUACAAGAGCUUGCUUUUUUAAGUUAGUGGCGGACGGGUGAGUAACACGUGAGCAACCUGCCUUUGAGUGGGGGAUAGCUUCUGGAAACGGAUGGUAAUACCCCAUAAAAUCUAAAUAUCGCAUGAUAGAUAUAUCAAAGAAAUUCGCUCAGAGAUGGGCUCGCGUCUGAUUAGAUAGUUGGUGAGGUAACGGCUCACCAAGUCGACGAUCAGUAGCCGGGCGGAGAGGUUGAACGGCUACAAUUGAACUACGACACAGCCCAGAAUCCGACGGAAGGGAGCAGUGUGGUGUAUAGCACAAUGGAGGGUGAUCUGAUGCAGCGAUGCGGGGUGUAGGAAGAAUGGGUUUGUAUUGUAAACUCCUCUGAUCAGAAGCGAGAAUGACGGUACCUGAAGAAAAAGCACCGGCUAACUACGUG